rnacentral:misc_RNA from 1 species
GAAAUGCGAUAAGUAGUGUGAAUUGCAGAAUUCGGUGAAUCAUCGAAUCUUUGAACGCACAUUGCGCCCCUCGGUAUUCCGUGGGGCAUGCCUGUUCGAGCGUCAUCUACACCCUCAAGCUCUGCUUGGUGUUGGGCGUCUGUCCCGCCUCCGCGCGCGGACUCGCCCCAAAUGCAUUGGCAGCGGUUCCUUGCCCCCCUCUUUGCGCAGCACAUUGCCAUUCGAGGCGGCGGCGGCCCGCGUCCAACAAGCUCAACCCCCCCGUCUUUGACCUCGGAUCAGGUAGGGAUACCCGCUGAACUUAAGC